GCGGCCAACACGCCCUGCCAUGGCCUCUGUUAAGGUAAGCGGAGCUCCCCCAACAAAAGCGACGGGCGGAGGACUGGACGUGCGGAUGGCCAGCAAGCCCACGAAGAGAUGCUCAGUGUCAUCGGCGAAAAGCAAGUCAAAGCCACGGCGAGACACCAUCUCUCACCCACUGGGACGGCUGCAAAACCAACAAAAGCCGAAAACCAGAAAAUAACAAGGGUCGGCGAAGACGAGGCGAAACUGGACGUGGAGACGUUGCAGAGACGUUGCAUCCAGAAUGGUGACAGCUUUACCAUCAUAGAGGCGUGGUUCGUGGUUCGUGGUUCGUGGUUCACUUCAGGGGGCCUGGCCCAUGCGGUGCACCGGGGGCCUCGGGAGAUGGCUCGCACCGGGUGGCCUGGGACCUGCCCCGUGAUGCGGCCCCACCAACACCGAGCUCCGGGGCAGGAGGAGGACAGCCCCAAGGGGCUGUCAUUGGGGGUGACAAGGGCUGUGCCGGCCUUGAAGCCUGUCUGCUCUUCAGGACUCCCAUGGACCCCUCUCAGAAGGGAAGGAAGCUUAGCUGGCACGGGGCCCUCUGAGCCUGCCCCCUGCAACCCUUGACCUUCCCCACAGAUGCACCCAGAAGGCCCCGGGGAAGUAUUUUCUGGAUCAAGAAACAGAUUCCUAUUUCUAGGGAGAAGGAGGCUCCUGAGCACAAAGACCUGGAGACUGGGCAGGGGAUGGGGUGAGGGGACGGCCCAGGGGCCAUUUCUUUCUUCUUUUUUUAACGUUUAUUUACUUUUGUGUGAGAGACAGAGAGAGAGUAAGCGAUCGAGGGAGGGGCAGAGAGAGAGGGAGACACGGAAUCCGAAGCAGCUCCAGGCUCCAAGCUGUCGGCACAGAGCCUGAUGUGGGGCUCAAACCCAUGAACUGUGAGAUCGCGACCCGAGCUGAAGUCGGACACUUAACCGACUGGCUGCAUUUUACAAAACCUUAAACGCGAAAACUCAGCCACAGCAGGGAUGCAGCCCUCAGAACGAGCUUUCAAACAGGAGCCCAUCUCCACCGACAGACAUCGUCACCCAGCAGAACUGGGGGACUGCCUGAAACCCCCCAGGGUGGGCCCGCCACCUGCUUGUACACAUUUCUCCCCUUCCGCGGACUCCACCCCAUCGUGGUCAUUACUUGGCGGUCCCAGACCCUCUUCAGACACCUCUGAGGCCGUGGGAGACCCGGCGGGGGCCUGAUCUGCUCUCCCUGGAGCUUGGGGACGUUGGGGAUGGCCAGAGCAGGAUGGACAUCACCUUGGUGGCCAGGGGGCUGCGGCAGGUGGGGGCCGGCUCGGCUGGCUGCGGGCCCCUUGGGCUGGGAAGAAGCCCGGAUGACCCAUCACCCGGUGGCAACUGCGAGCAGGGGGACACGAUGCCCAGCUCCACAGGCUGCCCGCACAUCCACGAGCCUUACUCUGCCCGGCACCUGGGAAGAGGGCCCAGCUCUUAGGGAUGCGGAGAAUAGACAGGAAGCCCUUGGUCUGGCUGUUCUGUGGCCUGGAAACCUUCUCGCCACACCUCACACCUUCCUCUUCUUCUGAGCUGGGCGGAGGCCUCCCCCCCCACCCCACUCUCUGCACAAAAGGAGACCCGGCUUGGCCCUCAGAAGUUCCCAGAUGCAUCAACAGAAUCGCCUGCAGGAGAAACGUCUGGGAGCACUUAGCUCCGAACGCCCUCACUAUCGGAAAGGAGGCCGCGACCCCGUCCAGGAGAGCCAGCCUCGCUUUCCUGUGCACAGACUCCUGGGAAGCGGUGCGGCACCCGCGUUUGGCAAAGCGGACUCCCCGGGUCCGAUGUCCGGCUGCUCCCUGCCGUCCCAGCCCUUCCCACCCCACUCUGGUGGUGCCUGAGGGGCACCUGUUCCCUGCCCCUCUCCCCUUGCUGGGACUCAGCUGAGGAGGUGGAGGAGACCUCAGAGGACCGCUCCUCUCCAACGCGGACCCCGGGCGCCCCUGGGGUGCACGGUUCCAGCUGCCCUGCCGGAUGUCCGAGGGCCACCGGGGUCCCGGCUCCUGGUCACACAGGAUCCUGCAGGCAGGCCCCUGGCUCCCAGAGCAGGCGCAGUAGAGGACGCGGAGGGCAGGGUCCUAAGAACGUCCCCAGAGCCCCUGACUGCCUUUGACCAUCAGCACCAGGCUGCCACCUGCUUGGCUGAGGUCUCCUGGGGGUCUCCUCCUCGUGUCCGCGCUGGGAGCACGGCCAGGAGCCUCGGGAUGAAGGGCGAGGCUUAUCUCUCUCGCACGCUGUCGCCAGAAGCCGAGGGGUGUUGAUCCAACAGGAUCUCGGCCACAAUUAGCCUGUUCCCUCAUUCUUGCCCUAUAAAUAUCCAUUCUGAGAUUGUCAUAAAGGUGCUUUAAAAAAAAAAAAAAAAAAGGGCCAAACCCGUUUGGAGCAAGGAAUCAGCUGCCAAGUGAGUCCCACCGCAGAGACCGUGGAGAUGCUGCCCCAGACGGCUUUUCUCAAGGGCCAAUGUGGGUGCUCUCUGGGGUUCUGUUCAAUUUGGGGUGGGGGUUCCGGUCCCCUGCAUGUAGCCUUUAUAAAUGUCACUGUGUGCUCCGGAAAUGCUGUGCAUGGGGACAGUGUCCCUGCAGGGGGUGGCCGGGCCCCACAGCCACGGGAAAGGUGUGCCAGCCACCCACAGGCCACACCCCCACCUCCGGGCCUGGGUCAGACACAGGGGGCUCGUGGCCACACCCCUGCCCCAGGACCCACGUCACGCACACGGGGUCGGGAAAUCGGGGUGCCAUCACAGGGCCAGGCAGCCGGGCUCCCCCAGGAGUCCUCCAGGCGGGGCCCCCGUGGCGCCUGUGGCCAGUGUAUGUCCCCUUCCUCAUGGAGCCCUUUGAGCCUCAGAGGUUGCUCCCUCCACAAGGAGCCCAUCCCCGGAAGCCAAGGGUAGUUUCCUUCUCUUUCAUUAUCCCUGACUUUUUCAGGAGCGUUAGAGUGGCCUGCCCACUCACACAGGGGCCACGGGGCCAAAGGGGUCCUGGCCCAGCCCCAGGACCCUCAGCCACCCACAAAUCUCCAUCUCACCCAGAACCCCAUCGAUUCACCUCAGUCCCUACCUCAGGUGAUGGCGGCGGUGGUGGUGGUGGCGGUGACGGUGUGUCGGGCUUUUGCUUGCCUGCUGAGAGGCUGCCCCUGCCUUGCCCCCCAGGUCCAGCUCCUGCCUCUGCCUCUCAUUAACAUGAGUUGGGUGGGCACCUCCCGGCCCGGCAGGCAGGUCUUGUUAGGAAGUGAGGACCCCGCUGACCUUCACGAUCGGACCCUACAUUCCCCCGGGGGUAGGUAUCCCAGCGCCUGGCCUAGGGCAACCCCUCCUGCUGCCCGUGCUCAAGGCUCCCCCUGGCUGGGUCCCCAGAACAGAACCUACCGAACGUGCACCUGCACGCACCAGCCUGAGCACACCCCGACAGCUGCCUCUUGCCCGGGCUGCCACCCCUCCUUCCCCUGGAGCACCCCCGCUUGCCUCCGCCCCCGGUUUCUAAGCAGCCAGAAAUGGAAGCCCCAAGCCUGGGGGUGGCCACACCCUGGAAUGUCUGGAGGACGUUUUGCCUUCUUGACAACAGAUUUUCCUGAUCCCGGGUUUGCGGACAUCGAGAACUAGCCUGCCUGAAGGGAGCUGUCCCGUUUAACAAAUGGAUCUCGGCUCGGUCCUGAUGGAUGCCUUUGCCUGAUCGUAAAACUCCGGAGGAAGUCAAAUUCGGGUUCUCAAAACCUUGGAGAUAUUCCUUGAAUUUAUUAUGUGACCUGAUAAAUUAUUGAAUCUGAGUCCUCAAGUAGCUUUAACAGGCACAGCAGACCGGAGACACUGAAUGUCCCCUGGAUGUGGGGGACCCGCCAGCUACACUUUAAGGUUCCCACCAGAAAACUCUUCUGGGAACUCAGGCUGAGUAUCCGAGCAUCCCAGGGAAGCCCUUCUGGGGUCAGAGGGCAGCAAAGCCUGAGAGGUCCCCUAGGGCGGCCUCUGGGACCCUUCCAUCUCCAUCAGCUCAAGGUCGUUUCGUUUCCCUGGCCAGCCCUCCCUCCUGGGGAACGAGGGCUCAGAGUCCUCAACUUCCUUUGCACACACACCUGUUGGUGGCAGAAUCCCGUCCCCGCUCGAGUACACACCUUGUCAUCCUCUCCCCUUGAGCAGAGGCAGGGCCCGCAGGGAAAUCACUUCUGAGAUUAGGGCACCGAUCAGGCCACUGCAAGUUCAUCAAUGAGAGCAAUCUCCUGGGUGGGUCUGGCCUAAUCAGGCAAAGCCUUUAAAAGGAACAGCAUCGGAAAGAUGCCAUCCUGAUGGUCUCAGAGAAGGAAGCCAAUGGCAAGGUAGUGACCUACCUUUGGGGGCCACGUGGCAAGGGCCUACAGGUGGCCCCUGGCCACAGCCGGACAACAAGGGCCUCAGUCCUACACGCACAAGGAACUGAACGCUGCUGACGCCCUGAACGAGCCGGGAAGAGGCCCCGAGCCUCAGAAAGAAACCAGCCCCAGCCGGCGAGGUGGGGCAGAGGAGCCGGCCACGCCGCGCGGCGCUCCUGCCCCACAGAAACUGCGACAUAAUAAACGGAUGGCACUUUAAGCCGCUGGGCGUGUGGUGGUUCGUUACACGGCAUCGAAGACGGAGGCCAAGUGAACCCCAAACUGUAAAAUGCGGGCGCGUGCCGCUCACGCCACAGGGGCCGGCACCUCUGCCCGACCCAGGGCAGCCGGUGCCCCUCCUCCGCCCUCCCACCCCAGGCGGUGGCCGCGCCCCCUCCGGGGGUCUCCCGGCCCGGUGCUCAGAAACCCCGCGACGGACAUGCUCCCGGCUUUCUCACCCAGACGGGGGUAACGCACGUCCCGCUCCUUGCUCCGCGCUCUGGGCGGCAGCGCGAUCCUGCCCCCGGGACGGUGAAGCCAGGGGUCGCGACUGCCGCUGCCGGUUCCAUCCGAGGGUGGGCGCCGGGACCCCCGCCCCCUCCCCGCCUCUGUGCCCACCGGCCUCACAACCCCUUCCUGGAAGC